CCCACAGCACUCUACUACACUGAAGAAACAGAACCCACCUCACCAACUCACAGUCACCACACCAUCAAAGUAAUGCCAAUUUGCUACUAACAAAUGAGCUGGUGUGGUCUCUGUAUCUGCUUUCUUCAGCAAAUUCACGAGCCUAUUUAAACACCCCUUUUCCCCACCUUACCUCCUCACUCCCUUAAAGCCCAUCUCUAAAUCUUCACUAGUUAGAGCCACAGUAUCCUUAUAGUUACUGAAUAUCACUAGCCACAAGGCAAAUUGCCCUGACAAAUAACUCAUCCAGGACCUUAAAAAAUGCAGACUAGAAUCGUUUGUGUUAUGGUUGUCUUUCUGUUGUUUUUGUCUUCUGCUACUACUGCUAUGGCUGGACGUCUAAUUCCUUCAAGUGUACCGAGCACCAUGAGGCCAAUGGGUGCAGAAGGUGGAGAUUUUGUGAAGAUGAGGCCUCAUUUCAAUCAUAAGCUGCCAGUUUUUGGCGGCAAAGA
rnacentral:lncRNA from 1 species